UUCCAACAGAAUAGCCAAAGGGAACACCUAUUUUGGGUAGAAGGGAAGAGGCAACCCAAAUAUGCGUUCUCUCCCUGUCUUCUCUCUCCUCGACCCAAAUGGAGUCCGGUGGCUGUCUUCUCUCUCCCAAUCCUCAUCCCCUUCCGCUGGGAUGCGCACCACACCUCCAUCUCCGCCAGACGCGAAAUAGACGACGGUCCGCAACGGGCUCGAAGCAGGAGAAGGCCUCCGCGAGCAUGGCGCCGUCGGCGUGCGGCGAGAGGCCGUGGACGAAGAGCCGACAGUGCGGGGCGAUGCGGUGGCUCCGCUUGGUCGUGGACAGCUCCUUUGGCUCCGCUGCCACCAUCGUUGGUGGGGCUCCCGGCGCAGCGCACCGGCCGCCGGAGUAAGCCUGCGAGCAGCUGCAGGGGCAGGGUCGGCAGGGCUCCCAUGCGCUCGACCGAGGCAGCAGCGGCGGAGCUUCUCUGUCCAAGGGAAACAAGAACUCCAGCCUAGUGUUGGGUGGGUCCAUGGCAGGAGCGGGGCGCGGCCAGCAUGGCAAGGCGGAUCCAUGGCAGGGAGUGGCGGGAGCAGGACGGCAUGCCCGUGGCAAGCAGUCGGAGCGGCGGCACGGUAGUUUUGGGAGAAGCUUUAGGCUUGUGAUCAUGAGUUGAUACCCGAAGUCUGGAUUUAUCUUCCGUUGUUUUUGCUGCCUAAGGUUAUCACUGAUUUACUAAGUAUUACAGAAUUGCUUGACAAGGAAGCUAGCAAAUAUCUGAGCAGCAUCAUUGAGAUAGCAAAGAGGGAUCUACUCUGUUGGCGGGCCUUGAUAAAGGCGCUGGCGUUGCCUAGGGUUCGCAAGGACUCAUAUAUAGUCUAUUGAUCAACUUCUCGCCCAAGAAUGUCACAUGUCAUUGAGGGCAUCGCUUAUGCAAGAGAGAGGUUGCAGCAGCCAAUCUCCAACUCUCCAUGCGGCUGUGCAGAGGAAAGCCGGGCGAAAUCAUGGUUAGCUUCCGGUCUACCUUGUUGAUGAUGGAACAGAAUCAAAAGGGACCAGCAGGCAACUUGCCAUUCAGCACUAGAGGGCCAAUAGGUAGCCCGCCAGUCAGCAGCUAGCACUGCAGCAGCCCCAUUGUUGGAACUGCAAAACAAUUUUAAUUUUCAUGGGAUUGUUUGUUGCUUUUGAGGAUGUCAGCAAGUUUGCAUCAACAUCAGUGAUAAAUUAUCUUCUGAACAAGGAUAUGAACUUUCAUUUGUCUUUCUCUGUUGCUAAAAGCAUACUAAAGGCGACGUCGCUUUGACUUUUUUUGGACA